rnacentral:rRNA from 1 species
GUACUGUGCGAACGUUAUUCGGAAUCACUGGGCUUAAAGGGUGCGUAGGCGGUUGAUUAAGUAGGGUGUGAAAGCUCUCGGCCUAACCGAGGAAUUGCGCUCUAAACUGAUCGGCUUGAGUGAGAUAGGGGUGUGCGGAACUUCCAGUGGAGCGGUGAAAUGUGUUGAUAUUGGAAGGAACGCCGGUGGCGAAAGCGGCACACUGGGUCUCAACUAACGCUGAGGCACGAAAGCCAGGGUAGCGAACGGGGGAUUAGAUACCCCGGUAGUCCUGGCUGUAAACGAUGAGCACUAGACGGGAGGAGCUUCGGCUCAUCCGGUCGCAGCGAAAGCAAUAAGUGCUCCGCCUGGGAGUAUGGUCGCAAGGCUG